rnacentral:lncRNA from 1 species
AAAUAGAGGAAGAAAUAACUGGGGUUUGGAGAAAUGUGACAUCCGUAAGUACAGUCUGAAGCUGCAGUCAUGUUGGAAAGGAUGGACUGCAGAGAGUAGUGAGAAGAGACAGAGCUGGUUCAACAAGAAGCACUUUAAAUAUCUUGCUGAAGACUUCUGAACUCUAUCCUAUAGGUAGUGUGAAGACUUCUGAGGAUUUUACUCAAGGAUAUGAUGAGAUUAAAUUUAUGUUUUGAUCACAUUUUUAUUAAGGGCACAGUAUGGAUGAUGGGCUACAAGGAAUGAAGAAUGAACUUGGGUAAGGAGUUGAAAGAAUGUGUGUAUUCAACACACACAUAGAAGACAAUGACAGCCUGAACCAAGGCCGUCACUGUGGGACAGAUCUGGAUACUUUUCUGGGAAAUAAAUCUACAGAUUUUAUUCAACUUUCAAAGAGGCUCUUGAUCCAGAGAGUAUGAGAAAUACAAAUUUGAAACAAUAGGCAUAUAUCAUAAGAAAAGAAAUUUGGGAGAAAACAUUUAAGAGUCAGAAAAAAAAAACUGGAAAAGAGAGAAAGUUCAGCCACAAAGUCUGAAGAAGAACUGCACUUCUGGUGAGCAUACCCAGGAAAUCUCUGCAUGAGAGUUAUCUUAAGAAAAUAUAUUUAAAAUACACUGAAGGCCCAACACAGUAGUCUCCUGGGGUCAUGUUUGGAAAUUCCACACAGUAUUAAAACCAGAUCUAGUCAGUCAACAACAACAACAAAGAAGGAAGAAUGUUGGAUUUUUUUUUUUUUGACCACGUAUCACUUUUUGAAUAUCCCCCUUGUGCCAGUCAUUAUGGCAAGAAAUUUAUAUUCAGAUAAACCCCAAGGAAAGUAAAAUGUUGACAAUCAAAUUGAAGAAUGAUCUAAUAUGGAUCAAAUAUCUUGUAUGUAGUAUCAUUCUACUGUCACUUUCUGCUAUCCACAGCUAAAGUUUAAUCUUUUUUUUCUUUUUGAUAAUUUUUGCUGGAAUGAUGGGUGGAGGUUAUAUAAUUGAAGCAAUCUGCAUGUACUAAAUGUAUUUGAUUGUUGUAAAUGUAAGAACCAAAUUUUAUACUACCCCAUAAGCUUUGAUGGUAAAAAUUCAGACCUUGGAAGUCUAUUUUAUAUUUCAUAAUCAUCAGAAAUAGUUUAUAUAUAUUAAAAAUGCAGCACAAUUUCUGAUACAUAUAUCUAGAAGACAAAAAUACAGAUAGGAUUUUGUCUAUUGAAUAAAUUUAGGAAUAUAUUAAGCAAAUUGAGGACUAAUAACUUCCCUUUUUAGAUAUUUUGAUUCUAAGAGAAACAACGUUUAAAAAUAAACACACAGUAGGUAGAUAACCAAGCAAACUAGAAAAUAAACAAUGAGUUAAACUAUAAACUGACAAGAUUACCUGCUCUCCCAGCUCCCUAGUGAGAUAUGAGUGCAGUUGUAAUUAAAAAGGGAGAUAUUGCUAAAAUUUCAAGUUUUGAUACCUGGUGAUUUUAUUUAGUAAUAUACACAAAGUAUUUUGGUUUUAGAUUCUAAAACAUCAGAGAGUAAUUCACAAUUGCUUUUGUUAGCAUAUUGCAAUUCUAGUGUUUUUCUUGUUCUCUCUUCCACUCCUACCGAUCCCCAGGGAAUAACAUAUUAUAAUUGGUUCCAAUGAGUCUCCUCUUUUGUUUUAUUUAUUCACUUAUUUUCUUUUAUGCAUAUACUACAUUUUCUUUCUUUCCCCAUUCAGUCAUCUUUGCAUAUAUUCUGUUAAAUGUGUCUUACUGAAUUUGUACACAUAGUUUUUUAUUUUAAUAAAU